CCUGGGAAAGCUCUGAGGGAGAGCGUGGAAGGAGCUGGAUUUUGUCUGCCAGAGCGAUUGCGACGGAUAAAACCCAGCGAAAAGCAAACAGCAGCUCCUCCCUGCAGCGCAUCUGCUCCGCGAGGCCGCAGGUUGCUCGGGGAGGAGGUUUUUUGGCAGCUGUGGCCACAGCAGCCCCGGCCCCCGGUGGUUCUUUGUUUGCUCCGGAGUCUCAGUUACCAGAAUCUCUUCCCAAACACGUCUGGAGGAGCCGGAGCCGCCGCCUCGGGGGAGCCCAGCGGGGCUUUCCGCUGGGAUGGAGCCGCUCUCCAGUGGCCCCAGAUGUGCUCGAGGUGAGGCAGGAGACAGAAACAACGCUCGGGGCAGGAGCUCAUCGCUCUGCCCAAGGAAGGGCACAAUUCCCUGCGGGAGAGGAGGAAGCCGGGCACACACCGAAGCCUCUCCCUGCCCUCAGCCGGACUUGAAUCGUCUGCCAGACCCACCCCAAAACCUGGAGUUCUGAGUGCCUGAGACAUCCCAGCACGAAUGUGGUGUUUGGGAGAAGUUUGUGCUGCAAAGCCGGUCCUCAGGCUCAACCCUUCUCUUCACCUGGGUGGGUUUCUCGAGUCGUGAUGCCCCUCUGCCAGAGGCUGUGAAUUGGCACCAAGCCCGCCUGACCAAGGGCACAGGGACCCGUGUGGCACAGCAGGGGACAAGGGACAACCCGGUGACAACAGCAGGAGCUGACAACUCGGCAGGAAGACCCCCGAGGAUGCGAUAAAAUCCCAGGAGGUCCUGUUGUGCUUUGAAGAUCCCGUUUCACUGAAAAGGCAGGACUCUGUUUCCCAAGCCCGUUCUCAUUAUCUGGGAGAAUUGUUAAUUAUUCCUGGCCCUUGAUGGAGCAGCAUCCACGGUCCUGUGACCCUCCCCUGGUUCACGUCCCAGUGCGAUUCCAAGCUCUGCUGUGUCCAUCCCUCAGGACAGACGGCCACCUACGAGUCCAAAGCCCAAUUUUCCUGCUGAAGGUAUUAAAAAGAAAUAAAUCGAGGCGUGCAGGAGAAGUCAGGGUGGUUUCUCUGCAAUUACAGGUGAUUUUUGCAUGAAAUCCUGAUCGACAAAGUCGGGACCUCCUGAAUUUCUGUCAUCUCAGUGAAGAGGGAGCAUCAAUAAAGUCGAUUUUUCAGCAGGA